GAUGAACGCUGGCGGCAGGCCUAACACAUGCAAGUCGAACGAGUGGCGGACGGGUGAGUAAUGUCUGGGAAACUGCCCGAUGGAGGGGGAUAACUACUGGAGACGGUAGCUAAUACAGCAUAACAUCGAAUGUGCACGGUUGGGAUUAGCUAGUAGGUGGGGUAACGGGUAACAUAGGAGACGAUCCCUAGCUGGUCUGAGAGGAUGACCAGCCACACUGGAACUGAGACACGGUCCAGACUCCUACGGGAGGCAGCAGUGGGGAAUAUUGCACAAUGGGCGCAAGACUGAUGCAGCCAUGCCGCGUGUAUGAAGAAGGCCUUCGGGUUGUAAAGUACUGUCAGCGGGGAGGCGUUACUCGCAGAGGAAGCACCGGCUAACUCCGUGCCAGCAGCCGCGGUAAUUC
rnacentral:rRNA from 1 species